rfam:Treponema bryantii strain B25 genome assembly, contig: Ga0070255_102
GGUGUGGUACCCAAGCGGUAAGGGACUGGUCUGCAAAACCAUCAUUGGUAGGUUCGACUCCUAUCCACACCU